GACGAACGCUGGCGGUGUGCUUAACACAUGCAAGUCGAACGGUAAGGUCCUUUCGGGGGUACACGAGUGGCGAACGGGUGAGUAACACGUGAGUAACCUGCCCUCAUCUCUGGGAUAACAGUCGGAAACGGUUGCUAAUACUGGAUAUGAGCUUGCAAGGCAUCUUGUGGGUUGGAAAGAUUUUUUUUGGUUGGGGAUGGACUCGCGGCCUAUCAGCUUGUUGGUGAGGUAGUGGCUCACCAAGGCUUCGACGGGUAGCCGGCCUGAGAGGGCGACCGGCCACAUUGGGACUGAGAUACGGCCCAAACUCCUACGGGAGGCAGCAGUGGGGAAUAUUGCACAAUGGACGGAAGUCUGAUGCAGCAACGCCGCGUGCGGGAUGACGGCCUUCGGGUUGUAAACCGCUUUCAAUUGUGACGAAGCUUUUUUGUGACGGUAGCAGUAGAAGAAGCACCGGCUAACUACGUG
rnacentral:rRNA from 1 species